rnacentral:rRNA from 1 species
UACGUAGGGCGCAAGCGUUGUCCGGAAUUAUUGGGCGUAAAGAGCUCGUAGGCGGCCAGUUGCGUCUGCUGUGAAAUCCCGGGGCUCAACCCCGGGCGUGCAGUGGAUACGGGCUGGCUAGAGGCAGGCAGGGGAGAACGGAAUUCCCGGUGUAGCGGUGAAAUGCGUAGAUAUCAGGAGGAAUACCGGUGGCGAAGGCGGCCCCCUGGACAAAGACUGACGCUCAGGUGCGAAAGCGUGGGGAGCAAACAGG